UUAAAUCGCACAAAUAGUAAUAUGCAACAAACAUGUAGAGAAUGACGGUUGCAUACGUAGGAUAAAACUUGGGAAACCUGAAUAGGAUAUCUAUUCAGGAUGAUGUUUCUAAGUGAAAACAAAUAGAAACAUGUGUUAUUCACGAUUUUGAAUAACAAGACAAUAAUAGAAAUAGUUUAUGUGAAAACUUGGACGGGAAUAAAUAUCAAAGUGAAUAAUUCUCAAUAUAAUACUAUUGAAGAAAAAAAGUAGCGAUCACAUUAACGAAUUUGAUGAUAUAAUAGCUAGGUAAAAAGGAAAACAUUUUAUAUGUUCAAAGAAUAAAACGGGUAAAACUAAUAAUUGAUAAAUAACAAUUAAAUAAAGUUUUACCAACUGAAACCAAAGAUAUGGAAAUAAACAGAGACGUUACUUACAAAGGGUGUAAUGUGAAAAUUAUAAAAAAGUCAUGUGUGUCAUGUGUUUAUCGCUUACUCUGGCCAAGUAAGUAGUGAACACAUGAUGUCAUGAACUUCUUAUGAUGGACACAUUUACGUCCGAUGUAGUAAGGAUGGGGUGAAUAGGACGAAAAAAAAAGGUACCCAAAUGAAUCAAACAAAUAAGAUGUUUGAUAAUAAACGUAAACGCAAGUCGGAGGACGGAAGCGUAUUACGUUAGGACAAUGAGCCCGAGAGAAGUGACAAAGAUCAAGGUAAAUGAAAAUACAAACCGAUUGAUAGGAAUGCUAAGGUAUAGGGAUAAAAGUUUGACUGUCACAAGUGAUGAAAUUCACACGGACAAGUCAAACGAAUUAAAUAAAGAAUAAAGGACGUGAUUGAAUAAAAGCGAUGGAUUUCGCUAAGACGACUAAAUAAGUUAAAACGAAGUCUAAAAUCAUAUUAGAAUGAUUACUUUGAAAAUGACUUCGGUAAAUAUACCCGAUAGAUGAGUAUGAUUUUAAGAAUAUGCGUAAACUAAGAGACGAGAACGCGGAUUAGAAAGUCAAAAGACUCGGAUUAUGGGUCAUGACUAAAAGACGAUAAGAUUUUGCAAAUAGAAAUUUUUGAUAAUUAUGUUCAACUAUUUUAAAGUGAACGGGUCGAACAAAGAACGAAGUUUGACGUUCAUAAGUGACGAAGUUUCACUCAAACAAGUCAAACGAGAUUAAUAAAGAAUAACGCUUGAAAAUGAAAGUAAGCGCAAGCUGAAUAAUGAAAGCGCGAAAUAUUAAUGAACCUAUGUGAUAGGCCGUAAAAGAGUAUAGAAAGGAAAACGCAAACCAGUGAAACUAGAGUGUUAAAAACAUUAAGAUAAAGAACACGGGUAACGGUUCGAAAGGAAAUAGAGGCGUAAACUGAAUAACGAUAAGAGUAGGACAAACCGACGUGCAAAUGACGGAAGAAGUCAUAGAGUCGGAAGAAUAAUUCGAAAGAAAAUAAAUGUAGCCUUAGACUACGGUCAAGGUCAAAUGAAAUACAAAAGCGAAAAUAAAUUAUUCUAAACGUAAAAAGGGUACCUUUACACCCUAAAUGUAUAUAUACAGUUGAAUAAAGAUACAAAUAAAAGAGGAUCUACGGGAUCAUCAUAACCUACGGGAUUAUAAGUAGUGUUAAAGUUUAACGGGACCAAAAAGACCUUCGGGUCACAAAUAGAAAGAAACGAAUUGUAGGGGUCUCACCUUAAAACGGUAAAAAGGUGAAAAUCUAAAUAAAUAGCCUACGAGGCUAAGUGAAAGAACCUACGGGUCAUAUGGGUUAAGCGUGGGAAUUGGUUAUAAUUCCCCGCAUUAAAUAAUAACGGAAAGGAAUAGAUCAUCGGAAGUAGCAUUCCUAGGAAUAAGAGAAAGAUGUAAGACAAAAAGGAAAUAUAAACUAAAAAAAAUUAGUUUUUAGUUAAAAGCAACGUUUUAACAAAUGUAAGUAGUAUGAGGGGAAUUAGAAAAUCUUAAACACACAUAAAGCCGGAAAUGGCAAAAUAGUAUACCCGGAUGACGGGGUAUGAAGUGACGGCGACUAAUUAGUCUAGCCGAUAAAGCUAUUCAAAGUUAGGAAAAUGUCAUGACAAAUACAAAGCGUUUGUUAACAUAAGACAAGCGCGAGAUAAACAUGUUAACAGACUAAUGAGACUAAGUGGUCAAGUGACAACUCGGUCAAAAAGGAUAAUGGAUAUAAGCUAAAAAAAUAACUGCCCGCGAGACCUUACACAAGAAAGACGUACGCGUCAAUAUAAAUGAAAACGUUAGAUUGAAAAGAACGAAUGAAUGUCUUAAAAACGAAACUAAGUUCGUUUAGUCUAAAUUUAAAGAAAUACGUAAAUAAGGUUUCGGGGACGAAACCUCUUUAAGGGGGGUAGACUUGUAACACCCCGAAAACGAGUUUGAUAGCCAAGCCACGUUAAUAUUAAUGAACGGGUGAAAUACCGUUAGUGGUAAAAUUUAACCCAGUGAAUGUUAGGAUUUAAAUAAAUAAUCCUAAAUAAUAAUUAAAAAGAAGAAUAAACGCUUAAAGAAAACAAAGUUUGUAAGAAGCCAUGGUUAACGGGACUUAAAAUAAAACGGGUUAUAAUUUCCCCGAACCCACUAAGUUAACUAGGAAUUUUUAACCUAGUUAGUAAAAGAGAUAAUGUUGGAAUUAAGUAGGUUGUGACCUACUUCAUAAUUAACUUACAAAAAAAUAGAGGGACUAAAAGUGGCAAAUUCGAAAGUGAGUUAUUUAAAAUAACUUAGACACAAAAAACACACACACACAUAAGUGUGUUUCUGGUCGACAUUUUCACCAGACAAGGAAAGGUUCUUCUCUUGAACCCUAAAUUACAAAGAAAUGCUCAAAUCAAAGGGGAAAUCAAGCUAAAAAUUGGGGCUUUUAUUAAAUUCGUGAUCACCAAGUCAUGGGGAUCACAAGUUUGACUCUUGACGAGCUAGGUGAAGCUUGGAGGAGAUGAUCAAACGGGAUAAAGACACGAGUAAGACUUGCUUGGAUGAAAGGUAAGUAAAGCUUACACCUAUUUUUUUUAUUAGCAUACGUAUUUAUUCUAUAGGUGAUAAAUACAACAAUAGAUUAUGUUCGAAUUAUGGGUUCCGACACGAAACAAAAUGGGUCGGAACGAAUAAAAACGUUUAAAAUCAUGAUUAAUGGUGAAAGAGGUAAAAUGGUAAUUUAGUCAUAAAUCGACUAAGAAUUUAUGAGUUUUCUUAAAGUUACCUCAUAGCUUAACUAAUAAUGGAAAAAGGGGUAAAAUGGUAAUUUGGUCACGUGAUGACUAAUUUAAUCGAGAUUAAAAGGAUACCCACGGCGUAAGCCGAACUGGGUCAAAUAUGUAAGAAAAAAAGGGAAAUUUUUAUGGUAAAAUCCGUAAUGGGUCGGAUGCGUGAUUGAGUAAUUAGAAACCAUGAUUUGUAAUAAAUAUAAUUGUUUGGUCGUAUAGACCAAAUGGGUCAAAUGAUGGUGAUAACAUCAUAUGACCAUAUCGACUAAUGUUGGUUGUUAAGUCAUAUGUUUACAGGAACGAAUAGCAAUUUGGAUAAUUGCGUCGUCAUAGAAUAUUGAAUUAAUAAUAGCAAGGUAUAAACGGGUCUAUACGUUGACUCGAGCCAGGUACGCUUAUAUAUAGAUUUAUAGUUAAAAGUGUUUAACUUCCCUUAACGGGUCAAAAUGAGUAGAUAGGUAAAACGGGUUAAGAAUUCAUAAGAAACCCGUAAUUUGAACCUUGCAUAUUAGUAAAUUGAUAUAACGUGAUAUGCAUGAUAUUUUGAAAAGGUAAUAAACAAGUUUGUUUGAUAAAUCACGAACGGGUCAAAAAGUGUCAUAAUUGAAUUUCAAGCCGAGAGCUUGAAAGUUAAAAUUUUGUGAAUUUAGAUGUCGGGUUUUCACUCCGUAAGAUGGAGAAUUAAAUUACGAACGCGUAGGAAAAAGAAUCGCGAAAAACGGACUUGUAGAAUGAAAGUUAUGCCAAUUUAAAGUUUGAAAUUUGUUAAAAUUGGAGCUGGGCAGAAAAUGCAGGUUCAGAUAUAAACCUGCUGGAAACUGGUCUCCCCCGCGACACGCGAAGGGGAAACAAGGUCCGGGCGCGACACGCGACAGGCGUCGCGGCACGCGACACAUCUAGUUGAGUCUCUCGCAACACGCGAGAGACAUAAAGGCUGGAAAAAAAAUUAUUUUCGUUAAUUGUUUGAUGUGUAGAACUUGUUUAAACUUAUAUUUAAGUUAUCAAAACUAACUUUUAGGUUGGUUUUGAUCACAGGUGAAUAUCGAAAGUACCCGGACGAAGAUCAAGCGACGAGAAAGAACCGAACACAUGAAGAAGAAGCUUCCGCACGUUGUUUCGUCGAAUUUUUAAACGACAAACUAACUACAUUAUGUUGUUCUAAACUUUAAAUUAUAAAAUUUUUAAUAAACCCGUACUUUGUAAUGUAUAUGUGCUCUUAAUCACAUGUUUAUUAUCUUAAAUUAUACGAAAAUCGUUAAAUAA